UGCAAUUCUGUAAGAUAAUUUUUGAAACUCGCAUCUGAAUCCGCGGUGAGUUUUUGUUUUGGCAUUCUGUAAGACAUGUACUUAAGUUGAAUGCACACUAGCGACACAGUUGCGAGUACGGCAGCGAGUCGAACUAAAGUUGAUGCGAGAUUUUGACGUUUUUACUAUGAGAUGACAGAUGUAUCCGCAUUCUGUAAGGGUGAUUCCCCGUUCACUUCGCUAUUCACUUCACUUACGAACUCGAUUUGAUCUGUCAAAUAAAAAGUUGAUGUUCGUCGAGUGAAAUCUAUACGUUUAUUAGUUAUUUGCUAGUGAUAUCGUGUCUAAUAAGACUCAAUAAGUUUCAAUUAAGGAAGCUCAUACUUUGGACAAUUUUGAGUUGCGUCGACAAGCCUAUGAAAUUCGUAGUUUGUCUCUAUUGACCCGAGAUGAUAACUAUGUCAGCGUAUAUAGUCUUUCGAAGCAAUUAAUCGACCAACUCGAGCUUGAGUUGCUCCCUAUAAUAAUAAAAAAGUACCAAACGUCGAAGAAAAGGACUUACAACUCGUAUUAAGGUUUCAUAAAAAAAUCAUCAUUGGCAGCAUUGAUGGCACUCUCGUAACUUAAAAAGACCGGCUGAGCAUGAAGAGCGCUUCUUCUGUCGUAAGAAUUAUCAUGCUAGGAUGUGCAAUUGAAUAAAUAUCAUGUGCAAUUGAUUACAGAUGACAGUUUUAUUUUUAAUGAAGAUGUAAGAGAUCACUUAGAGGCUUUGACAAAUGCUGGUGAAGAAAUUGUUUUGUUCGGUGGUUCUGGAUAUGCUGAGCGGGCUAGCCUUAUGACACCUAUAAAUAAUGCCCCAGACAAUACUCCUGAAACAUAUUAUAACAUGCUUACGCAACUCCGUAGAACACCAAAUGGUUUGUUGAAAAGACACUUCAGGUGUUUGUUAGUACACAGGGUCCUAGACUAUCAUCCUGAUACAGUUGCAAUGCAUGUUGUAUUCUGCAUAACGUGUUCAACCGAGCUGGAAUGGAGGUAGUUAAUUUGACUGAAGAUGAAAACCUAGAGGAAGUUCAGGUGGCAGCCGAGACACAGAGAAGGCAACGUGCCAAAUCAUGAUGAUUUAAAUGUUGGACGGUCGCAAAGGCCUCAAAGGACAAAGAAAAAAAGUCAAAGAUCUUGUGAAUAGAUUGUGGUGAUCGCGUCGACGUUAACUCCACCUCAGUGUUAGAAGAGUAACAGAACCUUAGGACUAAAUAUUUUAAUUAUCUAUGUAGAUCUAGUUAUAGUACAUACUAAGGAAUAACAGGUAAUUUAGAGGUACUUAUAGGUAUUAGUGAAUGUGUUGUUAUCAUAAUUACCUGCUUUGUGUAAUGUUAUACUUACAAUAAAAUGUAUAUGAUAAGCCAUUAUUACUUUAGGGUCUGCUAUUAACUUCAAAAUUGUAUUUUAUGAAUAAAUAACGGUUUUUUUAUUAUUAUUUAUAUUUAGUACAUAAGAACAUUGAAAAAAAAGAUUGUAAUAUAAGCAAAACCAGAAAAGAAACAACGAAUAAUAAUAAUAUAACGUACCGUAACGUACGUAACGUAAUAAUCUACUUUAAAACUUGAAAAUAUAAAAUUACAAUUUAAAUACUUAUUUAUUUGACCCCAGUUCAACCUAAUAGCUUCUGCUAGCGCUGCCGUGUCAUACGAAUCUCUGCUAUCUCAAAAAAUGCUGUUUUGAGUAAAUCGCCUUUAAAGUUUUUUUCAGUUAAUUGUCUGUAUAGUUCGUAUUAAGUGAAAUAUCUGUCAUCAAAAUAUCAGAAAAUAUUCUAAAAUGUACUCUGAAUAACAGGCACUUUUGAUUUUUUUCUUUAUUAUAAUAGUUUUUAUUUAAAUCGAGUUUAAGAGUUGUGCAUGACCACUCUUCCAUAGAAAUGUGGUCACGCGGUCUGUGCUAUAUUAAGUUAGCAGAGUUUGGCACAUGCAGCCGGUUUGUUAUUAUAACUUUAAUCUAUCCAUGCUAAUUAUUAGUUGUAAGAGAUGAUCGUUACAAGCUUUCUAUAAGGACUGCUUUUAGGGGUAGCCCGGGUUGAGUAGACAAAGUGAAAUGGAUACAAGGAAAAUAUUUAUAUUAAGCACUUAGUUUAAUUUUGAUAUCUACAAAAUUGGAAAUAUUAAUGUACAAGUUGGGAAUUCCUUUUUUUCUACCCUGAUAUACUUUUUUUGCUUCAUCAAUCAGCAAUCAGGAGCUCAGAAUUAUGUAAUUUUACAAUUUUAAAUAAAAUAAUCUAAAAUAUAAUGAACGUUUAGAAACAAUAUUUGUGAUAUAUAUAAUUAUGUUCAAACUUCUUCUCAAUACAAUGAAAAAAAAUGGAAUUCCAACAGCAUGUUUGCAAUCAUCAAUCACAAUGCCAUAGCUAAAAUGUUUUAGG
rnacentral:lncRNA from 1 species